GAUGAACGCUGGCGGCGUGCCUAAUACAUGCAAGUCGAGCGAACGGACGAGAAGCUUGCUUCUCUGAUGUUAGCGGCGGACGGGUGAGUAACACGUGGAUAACCUACCUAUAAGACUGGGAUAACUUCGGGAAACCGUAGCUAAUACCGGAUAAUAUUUUGAACCGCAUGGUUCAUAAGUGAAAGACGUUCUUGCUGUCACUUAUAGAUGGAUCCGCGCUGCAUUAGCUAGUUGGUAAGGUAACGGCUUACCAAGGCAACGAUGCGUAGCCGACCUGAGAGGGUGAUCGGCCACACUGGAACUGAGACACGGUCCAGACUCCUACGGGAGGCAGCAGUAGGGAAUAUUCCGCAAUGGGCGAAAGCCUGACGGAGCAACGCCGCGUGAGUGAUGAAGGUCUUCGGAUCGUAAAACUCUGUUAUUAGGGAAGAACAUAUGUGUAAGUAACUGUGCACAUCUUGACGGUACCAAAUCAGAAAGCCACGGCUAACUACGUG
rnacentral:rRNA from 1 species